CUUCUGCGUUGGCAGAGCCUUCAUUUGACACAUGUCCAAGUGAAAAUAUCAGUAAAAAGAAGAACAAUUUAGAGAAAAAGUAGGAGUCUAUCCAGCUGAGAAGGUGAUAGUUAAUGGCAAACCCGAUGAAGAACUAGUAAAAGAGGAUGAACCCCAUAGCCUGCUAAGAGAAGAUCUCAGUGCUGAGAUAGAUGUAGAAUAGGAUAAAGGUAGUGAUGAUGAAAAAGAAGAUGUUGUUGAUGAAAAGGUCAAACUUAAGAGAAAAGGGGCUG
rnacentral:lncRNA from 1 species